rnacentral:rRNA from 1 species
GUGUCAGCAGCCGCGGUAAUACGAAGGGUGCAAGCGUUAGUCGGAAUUACUGGGCGUAAAGCGUGCGUAGGUGGUUUCUUAAGUCCGUUGUGAAAGCCCUGGGCUCAACCUGGGAACUGCAGUGGAUACUGAGAGGCUAGAGUGUGUCAGAGGAUGGUGGAAUUCCCGGUGUAGCGGUGAAAUGCGUAGAGAUCGGGAGGAACAUCAGUGGCGAAGGCGGCCAUCUGGGACAACACUGACGCUGAGGCACGAAAGCGUGGGGAGCAAACAGGAUUAGAUACCCCCGUAGUCC